UUUUCAUUACUUUCCAAUUGAUCUACUUUAAUUCGCUUGAAACAAUUGCUCAAUUUGAAUUUGAAUGAUUUCACUAACGACUGAAAGGUCUCAGUUCCGAAAAUCCUAGGAGAUGGAAAUUGUCUUUUUGCGUCAUUGAUUCAAGUCCUCGAGGCCGAAACAAGCGUAAAUUUAAAGUCCAUGUUUCAUUUGGGAAGCCGUAUUGCGCAUAGAAUCAGUGAAAACAGGAACGAAUCACUUGCUCGGAGCAAUGACCAACGAUGACUUUAACAUGAUGUAUUUACGACGGGACAAUUUCGGAUAAAAAGUAGUGAAGCUGAUUCAGGUUGUAUGCGUCUCAUCCACAAUUCAGCUAAUGCGUUCGAAAAUUCAUUUAUAAUUUGGUGAAUCUCUCAGGAGAUCGGAUUACAGAUAAUGCUUUGACGGUGGAGGAAAUUUGAAAACAUACAUAUUUUGAAUGUGUAGUUAGAAACUGAAUUAAGUAGUUAGUAUGACUGUACGCCAAUUGAGGGUCAGCUCUUUGUGUGAUUGUCCUUUACCACUUACCUGGUUGGCCUAGCGUAAUCUAAAAGGCAUAGUGAUUGAAAUAUAUCGCUCGCUGGGUAUAGUGAAGUCGGAGUCGGAGUGUUACGAAAAAUAUUUU